AAAUUGAAGAGUUUGAUCAUGGCUCAGAUUGAACGCUGGCGGCAGGCCUAACACAUGCAAGUCGAACGGUAACAGGAAGCAGCUUGCUGCUUCGCUGACGAGUGGCGGACGGGUGAGUAAUGUCUGGGAAACUGCCUGAUGGAGGGGGAUAACUACUGGAAACGGUGGCUAAUACCGCAUAACGUCGCAAGACCAAAGAGGGGGACCUUCGGGCCUCUUGCCAUCAGAUGUGCCCAGAUGGGAUUAGCUGGUUGGUGAGGUAACGGCUCACCAAGGCGACGAUCCCUAGCUGGUCUGAGAGGAUGACCAGCCACACUGGAACUGAGACACGGUCCAGACUCCUACGGGAGGCAGCAGUGGGGAAUAUUGCACAAUGGGCGCAAGCCUGAUGCAGCCAUGCCGCGUGUAUGAAGAAGGCCUUCGGGUUGUAAAGUACUUUCAGCGGGGAGGAAGGUGUUG
rnacentral:rRNA from 5 species